GUGAAUCAUCAAAUCUUUGAACGCAAAUUGCGCUUCCUAGCAUCCCGGGAAGUAUGCCUGUUUGAGGGUCAUUAUUAACAAAAAAAUCGGAUUGGUCUCAAAUUGUGACGUUUCCGGAGUUUGGGCUAUCUUAACUUUUUUGGUUAAGGGGCUUAAAAUUGACCUUUUUUGCGAGUUUUAAUACUAACAUAAAUUUUUUUUUUUUUUUUUUUGCUUAA
rnacentral:misc_RNA from 1 species